AUUCUAAGUGUGGAACAGAUUUUUCAGGGAGUAUUCAGGCAAGCAAAGCAUGAUUUUGCUAAUGGUUAAAGACAAAAUAGAAAGAACAUGAAUGCAGACAGGAGCAGGAAAGAGGAAGGAAGAAGAAACAUCACUUGCCUCACAAUAAUUUUUAAAAAGCUCAACUGGUGCCCUGUUCUUUCUGUGCUGCUUUCACUCCCUGCAAGAGUAAAACCAGCUAGAGUACCCUUUCUCUUCACCAGUCAUCAGUUUCUGUUUGCCACGGCCUGAAAAAGAGAAAGUCAAAAACUUUUCCAGAAGACAGCAGUCACUUUAAAAGGAUCACCACUACUGACAUCCAUUAUCAUUUGGUGAAUCAGAUGCCAAAGGUCCAAAUGGCUGAAAUAAUGAGAUCCAGAACUGCUAUCCAAAUUUCUGGAAAAGAAUGGAAAAAUGUAUCAUGUAAUGCUUUUAUUUUGAUUGCUUUUCCUUCAAAGUAAAUGUUUCAAUCUGGUAAACAUCCUUAAUUCCACCUCAAAACCAGAACAUUGUUUUAGG